GGGCAUGUGGUGUAGUUGGUUAUCACGCUCGCUUAGCAUAGUCCAUCGAGCAAAACCCGGUUGCAUGCGAGAGGGGUCCGGUUCAAUCCCGGACAUGUUCA
rnacentral:tRNA from 1 species